AUUGAACGCUGGCGGCAGGCCUAACACAUGCAAGUCGAGCGGAUGAAGGGAGCUUGCUCCUGGAUUCAGCGGCGGACGGGUGAGUAAUGCCUAGGAAUCUGCCUGGUAGUGGGGGAUAACGUCCGGAAACGGGCGCUAAUACCGCAUACGUCCUGAGGGAGAAAGUGGGGGAUCUUCGGACCUCACGCUAUCAGAUGAGCCUAGGCCGGAUUAGCUAGUUGGUGGGGUAAAGGCCUACCAAGGCGACGAUCCGUAACUGGUCUGAGAGGAUGAUCAGUCACACUGGAACUGAGACACGGUCCAGACUCCUACGGGAGGCAGCAGUGGGGAAUAUUGGGCAAUGGGCGAAAGCCUGAUCCAGCCAUGCCGCGUGUGUGAAGAAGGUCUUCGGAUUGUAAAGCACUUUAAGUUGGGAGGAAGGGCAGUAAGUUAAUACCUUGCUGUUUUGACGUUACCAACAGAAUAAGCACCGGCUAACUUCGUG
rnacentral:rRNA from 1 species